GAUGAACGCUAGCUACAGGCUUAACACAUGCAAGUCGAGGGGAAACGAUAGAGAAAGCUUGCUUUUUCUAGGCGUCGACCGGCGCACGGGUGAGUAACGCGUAUCCAACCUGCCCAUCACUUGGGGAUAACCUUGCGAAAGUAAGACUAAUACCCAAUGAUGUCUCUAGAAAACAUCUGAAAGGGAUUAAAGAUUUAUCGGUGAUGGAUGGGGAUGCGUCUGAUUAGCUUGUUGGCGGGGUAACGGCCCACCAAGGCGACGAUCAGUAGGGGUUCGGAGAGGAAGGUCCCCCACAUUGGAACUGAGACACGGUCCAAACUCCUACGGGAGGCAGCAGUGAGGAAUAUUGGUCAAUGGGCGAGAGCCUGAACCAGCCAAGUAGCGUGCAGGAUGACGGCCCUAUGGGUUGUAAACUGCUUUUAUAAGGGAAUAAAGUGAGCCUCGUGAGGCUUUUUGCAUGUACCUUAUGAAUAAGGACCGGCUAAUUCCGUGCCAGCCGCCGCCGUAA
rnacentral:rRNA from 1 species